GGCCAUUCGCUUUAAGAUGAGCCUACGGCGGAUUAGCUUGUUGGUAAGGUAAUGGCCUACCAAGGCAACGAUCCGUAGCUGGUCUGAGAGGACGAUCAGCCACACUGGGACUGAGAUACGGCCCAGACUCCUACGGGAGGCAGCAGUGGGGAAUAUUGGACAAUGGGCGAAAGCCUGAUCCAGCAAUGCCGCGUGUGUGAUGAAGGCCUGCGGGUUGUAAAGCACUUUCAGUGGGGAAGAAAUGCUCAAGGCUAAUAUCCUUGAGAGUUGACAUUACCCACAGAAGAAGCACCGGCUAACUCUGUGCCAGCAGCCGCGGUAAUACAGAGGGUGCAAGCGUUAAUCGGAGUUACUGGGCGUAAAGGGCGUGUAGGCGGAUGUUUAAGUCGAUUGUGAAAUACCUGGGCUUAACCUGGGAAUUGCAGUCGAUACUGAAUAUCUAGAGUAUGGGAGAGGAAAGUGGAAUUCCCGGUGUAGCGAUAAAAUGCGUAGAUAUCGGGAGGAACACCAGUGCGAAGGCGGCUUUCUGGACCAAUACUGACGCUGAGGCGCGAAAGCGUGGGGAGCAAACAGGAUUAGAUACCCUGGUAGUCCAUGCUGUAAACGAUGAGAACUAGAUGUCAG
rnacentral:rRNA from 1 species